rnacentral:rRNA from 1 species
AGAGUUUGAUCCUGGCUCAGGACGAACGCUGGCGGCGUGCUUAACACAUGCAAGUCGAACGGUGAACCUCUUUCGGGAGGGGAUCAGUGGCGAACGGGUGAGUAACACGUGAGUAAUCUGCCUCUGACUCUGGGAUAACCACGGGAAACGGUGGCUAAUACCGGAUAUGACGCAUGGCUGCAUGGUCUGUGCGUGGAAAGUUUUUCGGUCAGGGAUGAGCUCGCGGCCUAUCAGCUUGUUGGUGGGGUAAUGGCCUACCAAGGCGACGACGGGUAGCCGGCCUGAGAGGGCGACCGGCCACACUGGGACUGAGACACGGCCCAGACUCCUACGGGAGGCAGCAGUGGGGAAUAUUGCGCAAUGGGCGAAAGCCUGACGCAGCGACGCCGCGUGAGGGAUGAAGGCCUUCGGGUCGUAAACCUCUUUCAGCAGGGAAGAAGCGCAAGUGACGGUACCUGCAGAAGAAGCACCGGCUAACUACGUGCCAGCAGCCGCGGUAAUACGUAGGGUGCAAGCGUUGUCCGGAAUUAUUGGGCGUAAAGAGCUCGUAGGCGGUCUGUCGCGUCUGCUGUGAAAACCUAGGGCUUAACUCUGGGCGUGCAGUGGGUACGGGCAGGCUAGAGUGCGGUAGGGGAGACUGGAAUUCCUGGUGUAGCGGUGAAAUGCGCAGAUAUCAGGAGGAACACCGGUGGCGAAGGCGGGUCUCUGGGCCGUAACUGACGCUGAGGAGCGAAAGCAUGGGGAGCGAACAGGAUUAGAUACCCUAGUAGUCC